AUCCUUUUGUAGUUCAUAAGUGUGAUGACGGGGUGUUCAUGCUCUUAUGUGACGUGUGCCUCCCUCACAUCUUGUUACGACAUCGCCACAUUACCCGUCUGGCG
ensembl:snoRNA